CAUUUCCCGGCCAUUUCCCGGCCAUUCCCCGGCCAUUCCCCGCUCAUUCCCCGCUCAUUCCCCGGCCAUUCCCCGCUCAUUCCCCGCUCAUUCCCCGCUCAUUCCCUUCCCCGUUCCCAUUCCCCGGCCAUUCCCCGGUCAUUCCCUUUCCCGUUCCCUUCCCCGUUCCCUUCCCCCAUUCCCCGUUCCCCGUUUUAAAGAUAGCCCUGUUGGCUAAAAAAAAAUUCGUGCAAAGAAAAAUGCCUGGAAAAAAAAUUCGUGCAGCCAUUACGUCAGAGAAAAAAAAUUCGUGCAAGCAAACAGAAAAGUCAUGGGUGUACCGGGCACUUGGCAGUCGGGCAAUAUUCGCUGAACAGUCGGGCAAUUUUAGUUUAUUAAAAAUUUUUUUUGACAAAUUCUGUCAAUUUUGUGGUAACUUUUGGUAUGUGGUAUGUCCGGAAAAAAUUUUUG